rnacentral:tRNA from 1 species
GCGCGUGUAGCUCAGGUGGAUAGAGCAGAGGUUUCCUAAACCUCGUGCCGGGGGUUCAAGUCCUCCCACGCGCGCCA